GAAAGAAAUGGCAAUGAGACAAUUUCAAAACAGGUUAGAGGGACAGUUUCAGUAAUUAAUACAUUGCAUAUUGUUGUCGUCUUAGUGGUUAUUCAUAGUACAAGAUGCAGACAUGAUA